rnacentral:lncRNA from 1 species
AUCCUACAGUCUGCACCAGACAAGGCAGAAAGAUUUUUUGCAUAUCAGUGCCAGAUUCAGAAGUGUUUGAUAAGAGCCUGUGAGUGAGCAGCUUUGCCAGAACACCUGCAGCAGCUCAAGCUGUCAGCAGGAGAUGCUCCUGGAAGCAAACCUGAAGGAGGAGAAAUGCUGCAUCAGGAGCACUUAACUUCAGUGCCUCCCUGGUAGCAGGAGAGCUGGAAUUAGAAGUGAGGACUGUAGAGGAGGGUGCUGCCUGAGGCUGAGGCAUUCCCCUUUGAAAACAGGUACACUUUUCUUCCAGCCUAACUUCCUUUCAGAAAGAAAGGGAGGGAUAUCUGAUUGCCUUAGCAAGGGCAGUACUGUCAGAUUGACUUUAGAAUUGUCUUUGAUGUUUUAUUGUCCUUAGGAUAUAAAUCAGACGAGGAUUUGUUAAAAAAUAGCUAAGCUGUCUGUGUGUUGUUUCCUUUAAUAUUUCAGUGCUAUUGUGUGCAAAAUUUUGUAUCAAAAUUUUAGAGGAGUGUUGGCUAUGUAGGAUUUACCCUGUGGAUCAGGAUGCCC